rnacentral:lncRNA from 1 species
UGUGUGCAUAUAAUUUUCAAACAUUCAGAUAUUCAUAUUACAUUUUUUGCCAUAUAUCUUUGUUUGUUAUUCCUCUGCUAGUUGGUAAUACAUUCCCCAAGCAGAUGUUGGUGUCUGAUCCCUCAAUGUAGAGUCAUCCCAUUAAGCAGAAAGUGUUUAAUCUUUCCUUCCGCAUUCCCUACUGAGUUAUAUCCUCGUGGACGAUGGUUGUUUUCG